CCUCAUGAAAGCAGAAGUUGAUUUAUUAAUACCUGGGUGACCAGCAGACACAUUGUCGUGAAACACCUUCAUGAUAUUAACCCUUUCCCCCAAUGGAAUGAACAAUUUGUCCUGAGGUUUACCACAGGGCGCCUGAGACUGAGCCUCCAUGAUGGAGCCAAGCAGCGGAGAGGACAAUGAAAGGAUAGUGGAAGCAAUGAUACAUUCCGGGGGAAUGAUAUGGGACUUUUCUUGCUCUUGUAUAGACUCAGUAUCAAACUGUCUGGAUAAGGCGUCAGCCUUGACAUUUUUAGAACCAGGUCUAUAAGUAAUAAGAAAAUUCAAGCAAGAAAGGAACAGAGACCACCUAGCUUGUCUAGAAGACAAUCGUUUAGCAUCUCCUAUGUAAGCCUGGUUUUUGUGAUCAGUAAUGAUCAAAAGGGGGUCCUUGGAACUCUCUAAAAGAUGUCGCCACUCCUUGAGAGCUAGAAUAAUGGCCAACAAUUCCCUAUUGCCAAUAUCAUAAUUGCGCUCGGCAAGCGACAACUUUCUAGAGAAGUAACCACAAGGAUGCAAUGGAGUUUCC